ensembl:lncRNA
CUCAGUUAAUGGUAAGGGGAUUAUAGCGCAGAGAGCUUGGUGUCCAUAACUUUGGAUUUGCCCCAGAGCAAGCACUCUUGUACUAGCGCAGGCUGUGCCAGCUUUCAGAAGAUCCCAAUCUCAGAACAAUGUGUCACUCAGAACCGUUUUGAUGUGAAUCGGAUGUGGUGACACUGAUUACGACAAUGGCCCGUGAGAAAGGAGAUGAAAAGUCAAUGGAGAGAUUACCUGCUCACAUACACCAUGACACCUUCACUGGCAGGUUCACUACCUACCGUAUGUCACCACACAAUGACCGAGGAGGACAGGGAAGGGGGAAGGACAAUCACCCAAACUAAGCCUCCCAUUGAUCAGAUAUAUCUAUCUGGACUACUGAUGUGGAGUGAGGAUAUGGACUAUGACUGCACAAUACAAUUAUUAAUACCCUUACGACACCAAAUAAAAAUGGACACUGGAUUUCCCAGUGCUGUCCGCCUCCUUCCGGUCUGGAUCCUGCCUUCACACCUAGUUUGGGUGUCCACUCUGUUCCUCUUGGGGCACUGUAUCUCAGUGUGACAGUCCAUACCUCCCUCCUGAGGGAAGCAGCAGUGGCAUGGGAGGGUGUGCUGCCGUGCGGCCGCUGGGACUGUUAGUGUGCGUUUAAGCGCCAGCGGGGAUGCUCCAUGAACUGAAGGAGCAGGUGUCCACCAGGAUGAUGACCCUGUGGCACAGCCUGUCCCAGCUGGGCAAUAGCAUCCAGGAGGUCACAGGAGGAAUGCGGGUGGCAUUCACAGCCACCAUGAGUCCCAAAAGCCACUGCUUCGGCCCCUUCACCAGUAACGUGCCGAUUCCCUACACCGAGAUCUCCCUCAACCACGGAAACUGCUAAAACCCUGCCCUGGAGGCUGAACCACAAGCUGCGGCUGAUGAGGAACGGGGAGAUGGUGGUGUCCACGUGGGAGGAUAACGGGGAGGACUCGGAAGACAGACCGCCCUGGUCCUGCUGGACAGAGGCUGCCAGACGUACGUGGAGCUGCUCUCUGGAAGACAGCUGUGUGGAGGCGGAAACCCAUAGACAGACAUAUUGUACAUCCAAUGAGACAUACAACUGUACUGAACAGUUAAAAGCACAUGAAAAUUGUAGUCAACUCUGAUCAUUCUCCUUAAAAAAGCAAUCUAUGUAUUUUUUUUAAAUAAAAAAGGUUUUCUCACUGAAGCAGAAUCCGACUAUUAAUAUUGUUUAGAUUCACAGUCAUCACCAAAGCGAUUGCUGUGUUUUUAGGCUAAAAGGUUGUG